rnacentral:misc_RNA from 1 species
GAUGAAGAUCGUAGCGAAAUGCGAUAAGUAGUGUGAAUUGCAGAAUUCAGUGAAUCAUCGAAUCUUUGAACGCACAUUGCGCCCCUUGGUAUCCCGAGGGGCAUGCCUGUUCGAGCGUCAUUUCACCUCUCAAGCCUGGCUUGGUGUUGGGCGACGUCCUCUUUGGGGACGCGCCUCGAAACGCUCGGCGGCGUGGCACCGGCUUUAAGCGUAGCAGAAUCUUUCGCUUUGGAAGUCGGGGCCCCGUCUGCCGGAAGACCUGCUCGCAAGGUUGACCUCGGAUCAGGCAGGGAUACCCGCUGAACUUAAGCAUAUCAAUAAGCGGAGGA